GUACUACUCCCUCCGUCCCAAAAUUCUUGUCUUAGAUUUGUCUAAAUUUGGAUGUAUCAAGUCAGGUUUUAGUAUUAGGUACAUCUGCGUCUAACAAAUCUAAGACAAGAAUUUUGGGACGGAAGGAAUACAUG
rfam:Triticum aestivum genome assembly, contig: Triticum_aestivum_CS42_TGACv1_scaffold_576772_7BL